rnacentral:rRNA from 1 species
GAUGAACGCUGGCGGCGUGCCUAAUACAUGCGAGUCGAGCGGACGGACGCGGAGCUUGCUUCUCUGAUGUUAGCGGCGGGCGUGUGAGUAACACGUGGAUAACCUACCUAUAAGACUGGGAUAACUUCGGGAAACCGGAGCUAAUACCGGAUAAUAUUUUGAACCGCAGUGUUCAAUAGUAAAAGACGGUCUUGCUGUCACGUCUAGAUGGAUCCGGGCUGCAUUAGCUAGUUGUUAAGGUAACGGGCUACGAAGGCAACGAUGCAUAGCCGACCUGAGAGGGUGAUAGGCCACCCUGGAAGUUAGCCAGGGUCAUGACUCCUACGGGAGGCAGCAGUAGGGAACCUUCCGCAAUGGGGGAAGGCCUGACGGAGCAACGCCGCGUGAGUGAUGACGGUCUUCGGAUCGUAAAACUCUGUUAUUAGGGAAGAACAUAUGUGUAAGUAACUGUGCACAUCUUGACGGUACCUAAUCAGAAAGCAACGGCUAACUACGUG